GAUGAACGCUAGCGGCAGGCCUAAUACAUGCAAGUCAAGGGGAUAGCAAUAUCACCGGCGGACGGGUGCGUAACGCGUACACAACGUGCCCAAGGGCGGAGGAAAGCGGCGGGAAACUGCCGGUAAUACUCCAUGGUGUUGUUGAGUGGCAUCACUUAACAACUAAAGUACAAGCGCCCUUGGAUCGGUGUGCGUUCGAUUAGCUAGUUGGCGGGGUAACGCCCACCAAGGCUUCGAUCGAUAGGGGGUGUGAGAGCAUGACCUCCCACACGGGUACUGAGACACGGACCCGACUCCUACGGGAGGCAGCAGUAAGGAAUAUUGGACAAUGGGCGGAAGCCUGAUCCAGCCAUGCCGCGUGAAGGACGAAGGCGCUCAGCGUUGUAAACUUCUUUUGGAUGGGAACAAUAACUCCGACUUGCCGGAACUUGAGGGUACCAUCAGAAUAAGCACCGGCUAACUCCGUG
rnacentral:rRNA from 1 species